rnacentral:rRNA from 1 species
CAGCAGCCACGGUAAUACGUAGGUGGCAAGCGUUGUCCGGAAUUAUUGGGCGCAAAGGGCUCGCAGGCGGUUUCUUAAGUCUGAUGUGAAAGCCCCCGGCUCAACCGGGGAGGGUCAUUGGAAACUGGGAAACUCGAGUGCAGAAGAGGAGAGUGGAAUUCCACGUGUAGCGGUGAGAUGCGUAGAGAUGUGGAGGAACACCAGUGGCGAAGGCGACUCUCUGGUCUGUAACUGACGCUGAGGAGCGAAAGCGUGGGAAGCGAACAGGAUUAGAUACCCGGGUAGUCCCUGUCUCUUAUAA